rnacentral:miRNA from 1 species
UCCCUUCCAGUCAUUGAAACAAUACAAUUUCAAAGGCCAGAAGGACUUUCUUCCAGUCACCAAGAUGGUAUGAACCCCUUCCGGUCAUUGGGACCAUACAAUCUCAAUGGCCGGAAGGGAUUCCUUCCGGCCAUUGAGACUGUACAGUCUUGAUGGCCGGAGGGAA